GAUGAACGCUGGCGGCGUGCUUAACACAUGCAAGUCGAACGAUGAAGCCCAGCUUGCUGGGUGGAUUAGUGGCGAACGGGUGAGUAACACGUGAGCAACCUGCCCCUGACUCUGGGAUAAGCGCUGGAAACGGCGCCUAAUACUGGAUAUGUCCCGUCACCGCAUGGUGUGCGGGUGGAAAGAUUUUUCGGUUGGGGAUGGGCUCGCGGCCUAUCAGCUUGUUGGUGAGGUAAUGGCUCACCAAGGCGUCGACGGGUAGCCGGCCUGAGAGGGUGACCGGCCACACUGGGACUGAGACACGGCCCAGACUCCUACGGGAGGCAGCAGUGGGGAAUAUUGCACAAUGGGCGGAAGCCUGAUGCAGCAACGCCGCGUGAGGGAUGACGGCCUUCGGGUUGUAAACCUCUUUUAGCAGGGAAGAAGCGAGAGUGACGGUACCUGCAGAAAAAGCACCGGCUAACUACGUGCCAGCAGCCGCAGUAACAC
rnacentral:rRNA from 1 species